UACGGGGGGGGCAAGCGUUGCUCGGAAUGACUGGGCGUAAAGGGCGCGUAGGCGCUUGCUACACGUCAGAUGUGAAAUUCCUGGGCUUAACCUGGGGGCUGCAUUUAUACGUGUGGGCUUGAGUGCGGAAGAGGGUCGUGGAAUUCCCAGUGUAGAGGUGAAAUUCGUAGAUAUUGGGAAGAACACCGGUGGCGAAGGCGGCGACCUGGUCCGUGACUGACGCUGAGGCGCGAAAGCGUGGGGAGCAAACAGG
rnacentral:rRNA from 1 species